AUAGCUCAGUUGGUAGAGCGGAGG
rnacentral:piRNA from 1 species